UACAGGGGGUGCAAACGUUGCUCGGAAUCAUUGGGCGUAAAGCGCACGUAGGCGGUUCGUUAUGUCGGAUGUGAAAGCCCUUGGCUUAACCGAGGAAGUGCAUCCGAAACUGGCGAGCUAGAGUACGAAAGAGGAUCGCGGAAUUCCCGGUGUAGAGGUGAAAUUCGUAGAUAUCGGGAGGAACACCGGUGGCGAAGGCGGCGAUCUGGGUGCGAUCGACGCUGAGGUGCGAAAGCGUGGGGAGCAAACAGG
rnacentral:rRNA from 1 species